rnacentral:rRNA from 1 species
UACAGAGGGUGCGAGCGUUAAUCGGAAUUACUGGGCGUAAAGCGCGCGUAGGCGGCUUUUCAAGUCGAUUGUGAAAUCCCCGGGCUUAACCUGGGAACUGCAGUCGAGACUGUCUAGCUAGAGUAUGGUAGAGGGUGGUGGAAUUUCCUGUGUAGCGGUGAAAUGCGUAGAUAUAGGAAGGAACACCAGUGGCGAAGGCGACCACCUGGACUGAUACUGACACUGAGGUGCGAAAGCGUGGGGAGCAAACGGG